AAGUCGUAACAAGGUUUCCGUAGGUGAACCUGCGGAAGGAUCAUUACAAAACACUUUUGGCGGCUUCGGCCCCAGAGUAUAUCCUGUUUACGUGUAUAUCUGUUGCUCCCUCGGCGGUUAUCCGCCGAUGGAUGCCCUCCAAAACCUUUUGCAAUAGCCGUAACAUCAGACAAUAUUUAAUUAUUACAACUUUCAACAAUGGAUCUCUUGGUUCUG
rnacentral:misc_RNA from 1 species